GUCUCUCUCUGGCAGUACAUGUUCUAAAAUUGGAACGAUACAGAGAAGAUUAGCAUGGCUCCUGCGCAAGGAUGACACACAAAUCCGUGUCUCUCCCCGUGUCUCU